AAAGAAAAAGGAAAAGUUACACAUGACAGAUAAUGCGAGAGGGAGGAUUUAGAGGGGAAGGAAUCAACCUUAGUUGAUUGUGAUUGUGUUUGCCAUCUUAAUACACCAAGAAAACAAUAGCAAAAGCAAUAGUAGCUUUAGCACUUAAUUGCUUCUUUUAAUCAACUUCAAGGAUCAAGGUUUUUAGAAGGAAAAACUCAAAAUUUAAAGUUUCCAAAACCGUAGAAAAUUUUCAGAAAUCUUCUGGACGUUCUGAUU
rnacentral:misc_RNA from 1 species